UUGUGUCCCUCAAAAAAAAAACCCAUUGUGUUCUUGUCCCUUUAUCUAUGGCCUAUGCGGUGAACUGGUAACAGUGGCACACAGGAACAUGGCGUAUUGGUGAUGUGCUGGUCAGUUCACGGGCUGUGAGCUAGCUGUAACCCAAAACGCAGACCUUUUUCUCAUGAACGGUCAUCAGUUCAUCAUGAUUAGAUCGAGCAGUGAACUGUCCCAGCGAGAUUUACUUUGCUUAAAUGCUAACAAACACGUAAAGGCAAGAGAUCAACAACUCCAUCUAUCGUAGCAGCUAGUUUAGCUAGUCUACGUGCUUUGCCCACAGCAAACGUUGUCCUCCUCACGCGGCACGCAUGCCCGGCAGGCUAGUACACCGGAGCACGCUAGCCGCAUCGCUGUCUCCCGCGUCGGCGCCUUCCGUUGUACUGGCCCGGGGGCGCCGGCCAGUGUGCCCUGCCUGCCGUCACAGGCCGGCCGGUGAACAACCACCAGUCCACCACGCGGAUAGACAGGCAGGCAGGUAGAUGCACACCGCGAGCCCGCGACGGGCACGAAUGAAGCGAAGAUGAUGAUGGCGCCGGCGCGUACAAGUAAAAGGAAGUUUACCGAAAGGAGCAUGCCAUCCUUGCAAGGCAAGUAGCCAGGAUUAUAGAGCGACGGUCAAGAGGUAAGAAGUCUACAGUACAUGGGGCCAUCUAUGUAGCCACACAACUGUUUCUACGGUCUGUAUGGCUGUAUCUCGCCAAACAAUCUGCUACUCUAAUCUGACUACGGCGAAGCUUUAGUGGAAUAAACACCCGGUUCUCUCUAAGGGCCCAUUAGUAGAAAAAGGGUAUAAUGUGAAGCACAGUAGUCCCGGUUUGAAACUGAACCGGCACUAAUGUGACAAUUAGUGCCAAUUCCACCGGCUAGGUGGGCGGAGCUCAUUAGUACCGGUUCGUGGUGAACCUUUAGUACCAGUUCGUACCACGAACCGGUACUAAAGAGGCUGUGGUCAGGCUGGGGGCCCACCAGCACCUUUAGCACCGGUUCAUGCCACAAACCGGUACUAGAGGUUUCUAGUUGAUUCAUUCUGCAGCGCCUUUUUAGUCCAACCUCGCUCCGCUAACAAAGUUUUCACCACCUUAAAUAUGUUACUUCUCAAACUAUCGCAACCACUUGGUCUUUAUUGAACUCUAUUUGUAGAAUUUGUGGCCACAAUAUGAGUCUUCUCCGGUUUCUAAACCGGUGAGGGCUCAUAUUGACAAUUCAGAUUGUACAUAAAAAGAUCGUUGAUGAUCAAUGUAUUUUUGAUGUA